rnacentral:precursor_RNA from 15 species
GCGGCUGCCAUCUCCUUCCAGGGCAGCAGGAGGGACGGGAUGCUGUGCAGUGUUGUUCUAUCACCAACCAAUAUUGCACUCGUCCCGGCCUCCUGCCUCCUUGGGCUCCUCCGCACCCAAGGC